CCUACGGGAGGCAGCAGUGGGGAAUAUUGGACAAUGGGGGGAACCCUGAUCCAGUGACGCCGCGUGAGUGAAGAAGUAUUUCGGUAUGUAAAGCUCUAUCAGCAGGGAAGCAAAUGCCGGUACCUGACUAAGACGCCCCGGCUAACUACGUGCCAGCAGCCGCGGUAAUACGGAGGGGGCAAGCGUUAUCCGGAUUUACUGGGGGUAAAGGGAGCGUAGACGGUGCAGCAAGUCUGAUGUGAAAGGUCGGGGCCCAACCCCGGGACUGCAUUGGAAACUGGUGGACUGGAGUACAGGAGAGGUAAGCGGAAUGCGCAGUGUAGCGGUGAAAUGCGUAGAUAUUAGGAGGAACACCAGUUGCGAAGGCAGCAUACUGGACUGUAACUGACGUUGAGGCUCGAAAGCGUGGGUAGCGAACAGGAUUAGAUACCCGUGUAGUC
rnacentral:rRNA from 1 species